GGCGACGCUAUGCUGCGGCACCAAAUGCGUAUCUUGCAACCUGGCGCAAGGGGAACUGGUGACGCAAUCUCCCACGCAAAAGGAGCAAAGUGGGAAGGCAGCACGGGAGGGAGGGGGGCUUCUACUCUGCCAACAAAUACGUUCGCGCCUGUGCCGGCUGUCCGUGUUGUUGCGUUGUCGCGCCCACCGUAUCUUGAAAGCGAUCUCCACACGGCUCUGACCUUUGUAUGCGCUGUGCUUACGCCGCUCAGUUUCCGUUGAAGCGAUAGACCGCACGAACUUUUGCUCGCUGCGGCGGCUGCGUUUUCCCACGCCCGCGUUUUCAGCUUCGCCAGGGCGAAACUGAGACAUUUAAAAAAAAAUUAUUACUUUGUCUGCUUCAUGCGAAGAUCGUGGGUACUUGGACAUUAACCUUUCAACGUUCGUAAAUUUAAACGGAUGCAAAACUCCCAGUCGCACACUUCGAUUCUCGGAUACACGCGGCUGCUUGGUCUACAUGUUUUGCAUACAUGCAGGGCUUGAAAAUCGUUGUUUUGGUUAUAGUGUGGUACCGCUUAUAGUGCAGAUAUUCCUGACUCCGGCGACGUACAUUAUAAGCGGUCUACACUGUAUUAAUAUCAAUAUGAUGCAAUUUUCAAAUUAAUUUUGUGCUGUUUGUUGAAUGGGGAAGGGGGAUCUUGCCAUUACGGUGCUACUGCUUAGAAAUGGCUGACUGCUAGUUCUCAUCUACUAUGACAGUCUACCAUGAUGUCAUUUUAUGUAAUUUAUUGCUAUGCUCACAGCCAAGGUGUGAAUGAUGAAGGAGCUUGGAAGAUAUAGCACUUACUGACCACCACCACAAGGUGAUUUUGCAUCUGUAACGAGGACAUGAAUGUAACGCCAGGGGGAGGGGGAUGGACUCUUUGAGCUAUGAAAAGCAAAAGGAGGACGCAUUUAUUUUGAUUAUAAUGCAAUUUCAGCCAAAGGCUCUAAAUGGUAUGAAACGGGCUGAAAGUGGUGUGUUCGAAAUCUUACAAGUAGUGCCUUGCCCUAACAAAUUUAUCCACAUUUCUGUUGGCUGCAAAGGCUAUACAGUGUAGACCGCUUAUAACGUAAGUUGCCGGGGUCGGGAAUAUCCACACUAUAAGCGGUAACGCACUAUAACCAAAGCAACAAUUUUCAAGGCGCGCACAUAUGCAAAACAUGUGCACCGAGCCGCCACGUGUAUGCGACAGUCGAGGAAUGCGGCUAGAACGUUUGCAUUCAAUUUAUAGUCAAAUCCCGUUAGUUCGAACCAAAUCACGCGGCGGCGCCUCCGACCAGCAUUGCUCCGGCACCGCCAUAGAGUAAAAGCUUAGGAGAGACCCUUCAAUGUCGCGCGCGAACAAAACAAAAAAAAAUGUGGCGGAAAUUUCACCCUCUCUCAAAUGGCAAGGUCGCCGAUUCUGCGUUGCGCCGGAACAUGCGUGUAAGUGCCGACGUCUCAGCCACGCUACCGUAGCCAUGCGUAGAAAAUGGCAGUGAACCCUUCUUUCUCCUUUAUGCUUCCUCUACUUUCUAGUCACGUGUUGGCCUUGCACGCUGCGGCUACAGCGCAGAGGGAAAGCAGCGGCGCUGCCCCAGGCCGGCCAACGAAACUGCCCACGCCGGCAAACGCCCACUUCCCGAUAACGGCAGAGAACGCAACUUCGGGGAGCUGGCGCUGGGCCGGCUAGAGCGGCGGCGCCUGCAUGGCGGCGGGCGCGCAUGGUGAUAGUCGAAAGUGAGGGAGCUACGAGGGAGGGCGAGGGGAGCCACCGAAACAGCGGAGUUGCCGCGGCGAAAUCCGCUUCCCUGCCGGCCUCGUCCCUCACAUUCCACGAUAUCCGCGUGCGCGCUUCCCGUGCCGUGCCGGCGCCGCCCGCUCCCUGAAGUUUCGUUUACUGCCGUUAUCGUGAAGCGAGCGUUGGCCAGCAUUGUCAGUUUCGUGGCCCUCGCUUGCUAUGUGUGCCAUGAUAUUUCGUGUUGCUAUGUGUGCCAUGAUAUUUCACGACUCGCACUCAAGAUUCUGGCUUCAGCCUCACUGGCUGUUCGUUCGCACCACGUGCCCUUCUCCUCCACUUCGUCUCUCUCUUCCUUGAGCACUCCUUGGGGCGCCCGUUUGAGGGGAGCGUUCGCCGUCUCCGCUGACUUCCGUACUCCCAGGCAGCCACACUGUAACCGGUAUUUUGUUUCCCGCAACUGCACUUUAAGCGAUACGUGUAUACAUGGAGUGCUAUGGGAAAAUUAACGGGAGUCUGAAAAGACCGCACUAUAUCCGGAGUUGUACUAUAAGCGGUUACGUUAUAAGUGGUCUAUACUGUAGUUACAUUUUUUUCGUGAAAAGAAGUGUUUAGCUCAUGUCUGGCAUUGCUAUAUGUUAUGUGUCUUGUUGUGUAGAUAUGAACUGCCCAUAUGUGCAUGUUUUUGGACUCUCUUGUGCACUUUCACUCAUUUACAGAACUGUGUAUGUCUUUUAGUGUGCUUUUACUUUCUUCUGUAGGUAGAACUGGCAAACGUUAGUACUAUUUGACUGUGGCCAGUGCAUAUCACGUUUUUGCGUCUUUGUUUCGCUUGCCCUUUGAAAAGGAGUAGCUGGUGCCAAUAAUGGCGCCAACCUCUCCUUUUGUUUCAUAUAAAACAAAAGUACUACUUGCAUUUUACAUGUAAACCUUUUGUUGGGGUUUAGCUUGAUGUUGUUAGUUCAUGGUUUGAAUCUGUUGACUCUGUUGCCAGCUCAUUUUGUUAAGUCCUUGUACAUAGAUGCUUACACCAUGAAUCUUUAAAAAAGUCGUUAUUAUUCUCUUUGUGUUAGUGAAAGCCAUUUAAUCUCUGCUCUUUUGUGUGGAACACUAUCGAUGUGAAGUAAACCGUGCAGUAAGAGGAAAGGAAUGUUGAAAUGACUACACAUUCAGAUAUCACAGUGUUAGGUUUUGUUGAGUUAUACUAUGCUCUGUUAUACUGAAGGAACGUUUUUUUAUCUUGAACUUGUCAUGGGGUAUGUAGAAUUGGCAUACCGAGUGUUUCUGUGAGGACUUUAAGUAACAUUUAAAAACAGCCAUUUUGAAACAAAAGGACGGUUCCUUUGGAGACAUACCGUGAACUGUGGCAACCGUGGAGUUACUGGUGUUGCAAGGUAAUUAGUUGCAAAUUAAUUAUUGGAUAUUCUUUAUUGAGAUAAAUAUAAACAGAGGAGUUUUUGCUACAAUUUGCUGGCGACAGCUAUCCCUUGUUGCUAGAUUGAUAAAAAAUAAAUAUAAAUGCCUGCAUUAGGGUAAUGGCCAGAAAAUUUGUGACUAAUUACCUCGCAUUAUCCGUCACCUCAUGAUUGCCACCGCUCACAGUAUGUCUCCAAAAGAACCGCCCAUUUAUUUCAAAAUGGCUGUUUUUAUUUAUUACUUAAAGUCUUUGUAGAAACACACAUUAUAAACUGCUUGUGUUUUUUGGCAACACAGCAAUAUUUACAAUGCUUGUUUGCAUUAAACUUGAUUCCAAGGUAAACCAUUACUUAUGCAAUCAACUUUCAGUUUUAUGAUGCUGGUUUAUUUGAGCCAUCUAUCAAUUCGUUAUGUUAAUAAGUCCAAAAGGUGCUUGUGCAUGUUAAAUACUUUUCAUUCAAAUAAAUAAAUUUUUUUGAAGUAUGCUAAAUUAUCUCUUGCAAAAGUAUUUCUCAAUCUUCAUCUUUGAUAGCUUUUCUUUUUCCUCCUAAAUUCACAGUUCAAUGUUUCAACUCCAGUCCGUAUGAUGUGUUCACAUGGUUUUAGCAAUGCAGUCAUGUCAUUAUUGCCCAAACGUCCAUAUGUACAAUAAAACCUCGUUGAUAUGAUCC